GACGAACGCUGGCGGCGUGCCUAAUACAUGCAAGUAGAACGCUGAAGAGAGGAGCUUGCUCUUCUUGGAUGAGUUGCGAACGGGUGAGUAACGCGUAGGUAACCUGCCUUGUAGCGGGGGAUAACUAUUGGAAACGAUAGCUAAUACCGCAUAACAAUGGAUGACACAUGUCAUUUAUUUGAAAGGUGCAAUUGCUCCACUACAAGAUGGACCUGCGUUGUAUUAGCUAGUAGGUGAGGUACUGGCUCACCUAGGCGACGAUACAUAGCCGACCUGCGAGGGUGGUCGGCCACACUGAGACUGAGACACGGCCCAGACUCCUUCGGGAGGCAGCAGUAGGGAAUCGUCGGCAAUGGGGGCGACCCUGACCGAGCAACGCCGCGUGAGUGAAGAAGGUUUUCGGAUCGUAAAGCUCUGUUGUAAGUCAAGAACGGGUGUGAGAGUGGAAAGUUCACACUGUGACGGUAGCUUAACAGAAAGGGACGGCUAACUACGUG
rnacentral:rRNA from 1 species